rnacentral:rRNA from 1 species
UACAGGGGGUGCAAACGUUGCUCGGAUUCAUUGGGCGUAAAGAGCGCGUAGGCGGUCCGAUAAGUCGGCUGUGAAAGUCAGGGGCUCAACCCUUGAAAGCCGGCCGAUACUGUCGGACUAGAGUCCGGAAGAGGCAAGUGGAAUUCCCGGUGUAGCGGUGAAAUGCGCAGAUAUCGGGAGGAACACCAAUGGCGAAGGCAGCUCGCUGGGACGUUACUGACGCUGAGACGCGAAAGCGUGGGGAGCAAACAGG